ACUUCAUUGGAUAAUUGAUAGUUAUUACAUAAUUCUGUGAGAUCAGGUUGGUUAUUAGGUGUUCAAAUAGGCUGUGCUUCUAUUUGUUCUGUAAAAAUCCCUGAGUGCUGAAAAGUGUUGGUUCAAUCGGAUGGUGAGCGGUCUGUCUGCAGGUGGCUGGCUGGGCUUGGGCCUCUGUGAUGAUGUGUCUGCUGGAUUGACAGCAUUGGCAGUGCAAGUGGAGAUUGGCAAGCUGCUGCCGCCUGCUCUCGUCCACAGUUCAUCUCGAACAACCCUAUUAACUACAUUGUGAGUGCAAUGGCAACUACGGCACAGACCAAAGCGUGGCUUGGAGUCAUGCUGCUUCACAUCCCGGUCAGGUAUCAGGACCUCAUCAUCACACCACCUCAGCUG